UAGGGAAUCUUCGGCAAUGGACGAAAGUCUGACCGAGCAACGCCGCGUGAGUGAAGAAGGUUUUCGGAUCGUAAAACUCUGUUGUUAGAGAAGAACAAGGACGUUAGUAACUGAACGUCCCCUGACGGUAUCUAACCAGAAAGCCACGGCUAACUACGUGCCAGCAGCCGCGGUAAUACGUAGGUGGCAAGCGUUGUCCGGAUUUAUUGGGCGUAAAGCGAGCGCAGGCGGUUUCUUAAGUCUGAUGUGAAAGCCCCCGGCUCAACCGGGGAGGGUCAUUGGAAACGGGGAGACUUGAGUGCAGAAGAGGAGAAUGGAAUUCCAUGUGUAGCGGUGAAAUGCGUAGAUAUAUGGAGGAACACCAGUGGCGAAGGCGGCUCUCUGGUCUGUAACUGACGCUGAGGCUCGAAAGCGUGGGGAGCAAACAGG
rnacentral:rRNA from 1 species